GCCGGGCGUGGUGGCGCAUGCCUGUAAUCUCAGCUACUUAGGAGGCUGAGGCAGGGGAAUCACUUGAACCUGGGAGUCAGAAGUUGCAGUGAGCAGAGAUCAUGCCACUGCACUUCAGCCUGGGUGACAGAGUGAGACUCCGUGUCAA
rnacentral:SRP_RNA from 1 species